UACAGAGAGUGCAAGCGUUAAUCGGAAUUACUGGGCGUAAAGCGCGCGUAGGUGGAUGUUUAAGUCGGAUGUGAAAGCCCUGGGCUUAACCUAGGAAUUGCAUUCGAUACUGAAUUGUCUCGAGUAUGGUAGAGGGAAGUGGAAUUUCCGGUGUAGCGGUGAAAUGCGUAGAUAUCGGAAAGAACACCAGUGGCGAAGGCGGCUUCCUGGACCAAUACUGACACUGAAGCGCGAAAGCGUGGGGA
rnacentral:rRNA from 1 species